GUAACACCGUGAGUAACCUGCCCUCCUCUUCGGGAUGACCGCCGGAAACGGUGGCGUAAUACCGGAUAUGAAUGCCUGCCGCAUGGUGGGUGUUGGAAAGAUUUAUCGGUGGGGGAUGGGACUCGCGGCCUAUCAGUUUGUUGGUGAGGGUAAUGGCUCACCAAGGCGGUGACGGGUAGCCGGCCUGAGAGGGCGACCGGCCACACUGGGACUGAGACACGGCCCAGACUCCUACGGGAGGCAGCAGUGGGGAAUAUUGGACAAUGGGGGAAACCCUGAAUCCAGCGACGCCGCGUGAGUGAAGAAGUAUUUCGGUAUGUAAAGCUCUAUCAGCAGGGAAGAAAAUGACGGUACCUGACUAAGAAGCCCCGGCUAACUACGUGCCAGCAGCCGC
rnacentral:rRNA from 1 species